GAAUAUUGCGCAAUGGGGGAAACCCUGACGCAGCAACGCCGCGUGGAGGAAGAAGGUCUUCGGAUUGUAACCUCCUGUCUUCUGGGACGAAGAAGAUGACGGUACCAGCGGAGGAAGCCACGGAUACCUACGUGCCAGCAGCCGCGGUAAUACGUAGGUGGCGAGCGUUGUCCGGAAUUACUGGGCGUAAAGGGCGCGUAGGCGGUUUUUUAAGUCAGAUGUGAAAACCCAGGGCUUAACUCUGGGAUUGCAUUUGAAACUGGGGAACUAGAGUGCAGGAGAGGUAAGUGGAAUUCCGAGUGUAGCGGUGAAAUGCGUAGAUAUUAGGAGGAACACCAGUGGCGAAGGCGACUUACUGGACUGUAACUGACGCUGAGGCGCGAAAGCGUGGGGAGCAAACA
rnacentral:rRNA from 1 species